rnacentral:rRNA from 1 species
CGGACGGGUGAGUAAUGUCUGGGAAACUGCCCGGGGAGGGGGAAUAACUACUGGAAACGGUAGCUAAUACCGCAUAACGUCGCAAGACCAAAGAGGGGGACCUUAGGGCCUCUUGCCAUCGGAUGUGCCCAGAUGGGAUUAGCUAGUAGGUGGGGUAACGGCUCACCUAGGCGACGAUCCCUAGCUGGUCUGAGAGGAUGACCAGCCACACUGGAACUGAGACACGGUCCAG